GGGACUCCUGGGAUUAUUCACUCUUGUGAUCAUUGUCUUACUCUCUCGACUAUACUGUCAGCAUAAAGCUUUAUCAAGGCUAAAAGAGUCACACAUAGUCACACGGAUGAAAGGAAAUGACUGUUUAUACGACGAAAUUGAAGCUCAGGAAAUAUCUACAGGUCCAAGGCACGAGACAGUUCUGCCAUUCAAAAGCCAAAUCUCCUGUGUACCUGUGUACAGCACAGUGCUGAGUGCUGGUACAGAAACCACCUCUUCAAGUCAACAUGUCUCCUAUGGCCAAGCCAUCUUUCAUUAGGAUUCCAAGAACUAUUGAAAAAACUGCACGAGGGCUCCACGAGGAAUGACCAAAGUGGUAAAGUGCAUGACAUGAAGUCAGUUUGUAUCU